CACAGGUUUGGUCCUAGCCUUUCUAUUAGCCCUCAGUGAGAUUACACAUGCAAGCAUCCACUAUCCUGUGAGAAUGCCCUCUAGAGCACCAAAUUAUGAGGAGCGAGUAUCAAGCACGCAUACAUGCAGCUCAAAACACUUUGCUUAGCCACACCCCCACGGGAAACAGCAGUGACAAACUUUUAGCAAUAAACGAAAGUUUAACUAAGCUACACUGACAAUAGAGUUGGUCAAUUUCGUGCCAGCCACCGCGGCCAUACGAUUAACUCGAGUUAAUAAAAUCCGGCGUAAAGAGUGUUUAAGGCCCCACCCUCAAUAAAGCUAACCUAUAACUAAGUUGUGGAAAACUCCAGUUAUAGUGAAAUACCCUACGAAAGUGGCUUUAAUAUUCCUGAAUACACCAUAGCUAAGACACAAACUGGGAUUAGAUACCCCACUAUGCCUAGCCCUAAACCCCAAUAACUCUACCAACAAAAUUACUCGCCAGAACACUACAAGCAAUAGCUUGAAACUCAAAGGACCUGGCGGUGCUUUACAUCCGUCUAGAGGAGCCUGUUCUGUAAUCGAUACACCCCGAUAAACCUUACCACCUCUUGCCCCCAGCCUGUAUACCGCCAUCCUCAGCAAACUCCCUAAAGAUCGUAAAGUAAGCAGAAGUAUUACCAUAAAAACGUUAGGUCAAGGUGCAGCCAAUGAAGUGGAAAGAAAUGGGCUACAUUUUCUAAUCUAGAAAAAUUACACGAUAGCCUUUAUGAAAUUUAAAGGCCUCAGGUGGAUUUAGCAGUAAACCAAGAAUAGAGAGCUUGAUUGAAGCAAGGCCAUUAAGCACGCACACACCGCCCGUCACCCUCCUCAACCAUCAUGUAGAAAAGUAUAUUAACAAUUUAAACCACUUCAUAUUGAUGUAGAGGGGAUAAGUCGUAACAUGGUAAGUGUACUGGAAAGUGCACUUGGACGAAU
rnacentral:ncRNA from 1 species